GAUGAAGAACGCAGUGAAAUGCGAUACUUGGUGUGAAUUGCAGAAUCCCGUGAACCAUCGAGUCUUUGAACGCAAGUUGCCCCCGAAGCCAUUAGGCCGAGGGCACGCCUGCCUGGGCGUCACACGUCGUUGCCCCCCCAUCUACUCCUUCGGGAUUGCGGGGGGCGGAUGAUGGCCUCCCGUGCGCCUCGUCGCGCGGUUGGCAUAAAUGCCAAGUCCUCGGCGACGCACGCCACGACAAUCGGUGGUUGCGAAACCUCGGUUGCCCGUCGUGUGCGGUCGUCGCGCAUCGAGGGCUCGAAAAAAUUGCCGGGCUCCGGCUCGGCUUUCAACGCGACCCCAGGUCAGGCGGGGUUACCCGCUGAAUUUAAGCAUAUCAAUAAGCGGAGGA
rnacentral:misc_RNA from 1 species